ACAAAACCUGACCAUCCAUUUAUGCAGUUGCAAUUGUUUAUUACUUUGCUAAGCAGUGAACAAGAUGGACAGGCUUCACUUGGUGGUGAAAACUGCAGGCUUUAUAAAUAGGUGGCAUCUCCGAAGAUCAGGUGCUCCUGUGAGGAGUUACCAGGAAGAGGAAGGCUCAUUCCUUCAAGGUGCUCACAUCGAAGUUGCUGAGACUAAUAUACAAUGAGCAUGUAGGUAAAGAGAAUU
rnacentral:lncRNA from 1 species